UACGAAGGGGGCUAGCGUUGUUCGGAAUUACCGGGCGUAAAGCGCGCGCAGGCGGUCCUCUAAGUCAGGGGUGAAAGCCCAGAGCUCAACUCUGGAACUGCCUUUGAAACUAGAGGACUUGGGUACGGGAGAGGUGAGUGGAAUUCCGAGUGUAGAGGUGAAAUUCGUAGAUAUUCGGAAGAACACCAGUGGCGAAGGCGGCUCACUGGCCCGUUACCGACGCUCAGGCGCGACAGCGUGGGGAGCAAACAGG
rnacentral:rRNA from 1 species